rnacentral:rRNA from 1 species
AUGAGCCGGGCUUGGCCCAGGCGGAGGCGACGGCCAUGUCGUCGGGUGUUCUGCGGCGCGCUCUGGCUGUUGGUGUGCGUGCGGUGCGGUGCGUUGGUCCCAUCGUCUGUGCUAGAUGGACCUCAGGUGGUGGGAUCGGCUGCGCAGCGGAUAGCACCAGAUCCCGAGGCAGGAGGAGUGGUUGGAGUGGAGAAGAGCGCUUCUGCCGGCACUGGUGGGUCUAAUGGUGAACAGGAGAUGGAACCCCAGGCGGCGACAGCCCCGGAGCCUGAGGAGGGUGCAUUGGAUGCGUGCGCCCUGCUGAUUGCGGGUGGACCACCUGAUGGGGAUCAUGCGGUGGAGCCCUGCAUGGAGACAGCUGAGAUUUCGAUGGUGGUACCCGCACCGGAGGAAGAGGCAGGCUAUUUGCCUCCAACGCUGGGGGCGACCGCGCACUCGUGCAUGCAGAUGAACCCCACUCAUGUUCGUGCGACACAAGUGCUAGGAUCAUUGGAGACCCCGGACGUGGGAGGCGACAGGCAAAUUGUGCAAGGAUCAUUGGAGGUUCCGGACGUGGGAGGCGACAUGCAAACAAUGCAAGGAUCUUUGGGGGUACCGGACGUGGAAGGCGACAUGCAAACAGUGCAAGGAUCGUUGGAGACCCCCGACGUGGUGGGAGGCGGCAUGCAAACUGUGCAAGGGCUAGAUGUGGUGGGAAUGAGGCCACAGGAGGUGGUUGCUUUUGACAAACUAAAAUGGUUUUGCUCUAGCCUGGUCAAGAAGCUAGCACCACCACUUCUUAAGGAAGUGCAAGCGUCGGGCCUUCGGCCAGAGGCGGAGCCAUUUACACCGCGACGCACCACGCGCGCAACGAAGCGAGCACCGCAGAGCAAGCAAGGAAAGGCUACUCCAGCUGAGAACGUCCUUAUGCAUGCGCUCGGGCUGAUGCCCCAAGACCUGGAGGUAGACGAGGCAAUAGUGGAUGAGUUGCAGCAGCUCUUUGACUCCCCUCUGCGUACUCAGCAUGUCAGGGUGAUCGCCGCGUUAUUUGGGAAGGAGUUGCCGACUGGGAGUGAGCUGCACAGCGAGGCGGGACUGUCGGUCGUCGCGCACUAA